rnacentral:antisense_RNA from 1 species
CGCCUCCUUAGGAACGGGAAGGAGCCCCGGCCCGGUGCACUGACGUAGUUUGCCUGAGAUCACGUAGCUGAUUGGUCACAGAAUCAUGACUUUAAUUCAUGUCUUCCGCCUCUGACCUGGCACGCUUUGUACCUCACCAAAGACAGUGAUGAAACUGCAAAAGGGCAGAGUGGAGAAGACUGGAAUGUUCAGCCAAGGCAUUUGAACUUUUAAUACUGCAAGUCAAGACUUCCUGAAGAUUUUUGAGCAGAUGAGUGAAGUGAUAAGAAAAUGCAUCUUCAGCAGUUACAGCAUCAACGAUGAGGAGACUGGCCGGGAGGCUAUUACCCGCAUCAAAACCAGUGAACAUUUAAAAAAAUUUUUUUUUAGAGAGAGGGUCUUGCUCUUUUGCCCAGACUGGAGUGCAGUGGCUUGACCAUAGUUCACUAUAACCUUGAAUUCCUGCGUUCAAGCGAUCUUCCUUCCUCAGCUUCCGGAGUAGCUGGGACUACAGAUGCGUGCCACCAUGCCAGGCCAAUUUUUAAUUUUGUUUUGUAAAGGUGGGGUUUCUGUGUUGCCCAGGUUGAUCUCAAACUCCUGUCCUCAAGCCAUCCUCCCGCCUCAGCCUCCCAAAGUGCUGCAAUUUACGGGCAUUAGCCACCGCACCUGGUCCAAAACCGGUGAAGAUUUGUUAAGGUGUUGGCAAUAUGGGUAUACCUAGAUUAUCCUUCAUCUGCUAAAAGCAUGCUCUAAUCUCUCCCCAGCCCAAAACAAACAAGAAACCCCUCUUCCCCUUCCAGCUCCUACCACGUGUCUUUGCUCCUCUGUAUGGCAAAAGUCAAGUGUUCAAAAUUCCUUAUCUUCAAUUCCUCUUCCUCCAUUCCCAAGUACACUACAGUCAGGCAUUCACACCACCAAAACUGCUCUUGCUGAGGCCACCAGUGCUGUAUUCAAAGGAUAAUCUUUGUUUUAUCAGCUGUAUUUGAUCCAGCAACUCAAGUUUUUCCUGUUUAGAACACCUUUCACCGGUCUUCUUGCUUCUCCAUAGUGCUGGUCAUAACCCUCAAAAGGUCCCCCAGUUCACUCAGGAUAAAAGCCAAGUCCUUACAAUAGACUACAGGGUGCUACAACAUCUGGUUCCUAUGGCUUUUCUGAUCUCAUUUCAUACUGUCUUUGCUCACUCCAUUGGGCCAAUCAAGUCCCACCUUGGGGAUUUUCCUUUGUUGUUUUGCCUGCCUAGGAAACUCCCCAGGUAUAUGAGUUUGCUAGAGUUGCCCUAACAAAUACCACAGACCAUGUGGCCUAAACAAAACUAGUUUAUUUUCUCGAAGUUCUGGAGGCUAGAAGUCCAAGAUCAAGGUGGGAUUCUGAGGCGUCUCUCCUUGGCUUGCCGAUGGCAGCCCUCUUACUUCUUCCUCUUCCCUCUGGUGUCUCUUCCUAUUCUUCUAACACCAGUCAGAUUGGAGUAUGGGGCUACCUUUAGCAGCCUCAUUUUAACUUAAUCACUGCUUUAAAGAUCUUAUCUCCAAAUACAGUAUAGUUAUAUUCUGAAGCACUAAAGGUUGAGACUUCAACAUGUAAAUUUUGGAGGGACACAAUUUAGCACAUAACACCCAGGUACCCACAAGAUGUGUUCCCUCACUUUAUUUGAGGCUUUGCUAAUCCCAGUGAAGUCCCUCCUCACUACCUUAUUUAAAAUUAAAACCUCCACCACCUUCCUUCCUUUAUUUCUCUCCUGCUUUAUUUCUGCUUAGCAGAUACAUACAUUACAAAUAUGUAAAUACUGUAAUUUACAUAUUUGUUUUGUUUAUUGUCUGCUCUGUUUCCUUCCACUUGCAUGUAAAUUCUGUGAAGAUUUGCUCAUUGAUGUAUUCGAAGACAUAAAACAGUGCAAAGUGUUUAGCAAGCAUUUAAUAAAUGUUUGUUGAAUGAAUGAAUGAAUACCUGAGGACAGAGGGAAAGAGACAACUGGAAAGGAAGAGACUGCAGUUGCUGUAGACAGAGGGGGUUGAUUACGAGAGCAAGAUUCCAGAGUAUCUGGAGGAAAAGGGGCAGCUCUGCCUUCCAUGUUGAAAGUAGAGCGUAGGAGGUACUCCUAGAGAGUAAGUUAUUUUGAAAAGUAGAGAAAACAGAUGAGCGAACUCAAACCAAUUGACCAUUAUCUACUCAACAAAAUAGGAGAUAAAAUCGCCCACCUAAAAGGGAUUAUGCUAGUUGGUAUGAGGAAGGUGUCAGAAAAUUAACAUAAGAUGAAAAAAUGAUUGUUAACUACCUGUUUGAAAUUAGUGUAUAUAUUUUAGUGGGCCUGGUCUUCAUGGUUUUGUAAUUUUUUCAAAAAAUGAUCAUGGCAUGAACAAGGCUAUUAAUCUGAGCUAAUGAAUUAGGAGUCUACUUGCCACCUGUAAAUACUGUGGAAGUUUUAUUUAUUCACUUAACAUUCAGGGAUUCCACAUGACCACCUGCAAAUAAUGAGAAUAAAGAUAUGAACAAAAUAGAUGUGGUUCCUGCCCUUCUGAAGGUUAACACCUAUAUAGUUAGGGAGACAGACAUUAACAAUCACACAUAUAUUAUUAAAACUAAGAUAAGUGCUAUGAUGAAAAAGGCACAGGCAGAAGAGCACAGUGGUGGAAAAUGCCAGUAAGGAGAGUCAAGCUUUAUACUUGGGAACAAAACACAAAUUUUCCAUUUUGGAAAAAAAAGCCUGAAUCGAAGUGUGCUGACUGGGAAAAUAAAUUAACGAGAGAAAAGAGAGUCUACCUGCUUUAGGACAGCAUGGAGGUUCACAGUGACUUUGUGGGAACUCUGGAACCUGGGUGCCUCAGGGAAAUGUAAGAAAGUGGGGACCGGGCAUGAGAGCUGGCCAGUAAGCUGGGCCAGGAAAAGAAGCUGGUGCUCAGGUACCCUGAGCCAGGGUUGCCCAAAACAACCAAGAUUCUACAACUGAGUGUGGCCCAGAAAAUCAGCAAAAUAGGUCUGAGAUUUAGAAACAGUAAGUUCAAUCCCUUAACAGAGAGAAACUGCAUCUGUUGAAAUGAUAUUUGAUUGUGAAUAACAAAAACCUUGCCAUAUAGUUGGUGAAGCAAGAAGUGGGUUUAUUUUUUUUAAUGACACCACAGCUCUACAGUGAUGUUUUAUUUAAACUUAUGCUCCUCUAUUUCUCCAUGCUUCAUGGGUGACUUUGUUCCUUUUGCCUAUCGUCUCACUGUUUUGGGAUGGCAACUCCAGUAUCAUUUCUUUAUUAUAGGUAGGACAAAGAGGAAUGACAAAAGGCAUGUAACCGCCUGAAUUUGCCCCUAUCAAAGAGCUCUCCAGGAAGCACCACCAAGGAAUUUUCACUGACAUUUCCCAGGCCAGACCAUGCUACUGCUAAACAAAAUGAAGAUUCUGCUAGUGAGGAUGAAAGGAAGAAUGUGUAAUCAGUUUUCUUGAAGUAUAGUACAUGUACAAUAAACUGAACCUAUUGGAAAUAUACAUUUGGAUGAGUUUUGACAGAUGUAUAUACCACAGUCAAGAUACAGAACAUUGUGAUCACUCCAAGAGAUUCCUUGUGUCCCUUUGUGGUCACUCCCUCCUACCCGAGGCCCCUAGGUAACCACUGAUCUGUUUUCCAUCACAAUAGAUUAGUCUGCAUAUUCUAGCAUCUUUAAUAAAUGCAGUCAUACAAUA